rnacentral:rRNA from 1 species
UACGUAGGCGGAUUAAUAAGUCAGUGGUGAAAACCUGCAGCUUAACUGUAGAACUGCCAUUGAUACUGUUAGUCUUGAGUACGGUCAAGGUAGGCGGAAUGUGUAAUGUAGCGGUGAAAUGCUUAGAUAUUACACAGAACACCGAUUGCGAAGGCAGCUUACUGGGCCAUUACUGACGCUGAGGCACGAAAGCGUGGGGAGCGAACAGGAUUAGAUACCCUGGUAGUCC